rnacentral:rRNA from 1 species
AUUGAACGCUGGCGGAAUGCUUUACACAUGCAAGUCGAACGGCAGCACGGGGGCAGCCCUGGCGGCGAGUGGCGAACGGGUGAGUAAUACAUCGGAACGUGCCCGGUCGUGGGGGAUAACGUAGCGAAAGUUACGCUAAUACCGCAUACGAUCUGAGGAUGAAAGCGGGGGACCUUCGGGCCUCGCGCGAUCGGAGCGGCCGAUGUCAGAUUAGGUAGUUGGUGGGGUAAAGGCCUACCAAGCCGACGAUCUGUAGCUGGUCUGAGAGGACGACCAGCCACACUGGGACUGAGACACGGCCCAGACUCCUACGGGAGGCAGCAGUGGGGAAUUUUGGACAAUGGGCGCAAGCCUGAUCCAGCCAUUCCGCGUGCAGGACGAAGGCCUUCGGGUUGUAAACUGCUUUUGUACGGAACGAAAAGGCUCUGGCUAAUACCUGGGGCACAUGACGGUACCGUAAGAAUAAGCACCGGCUAACUACGUG